rnacentral:rRNA from 1 species
GACGUAGGGCGCGAGCGUUGUCCGGAUUUAUUGGGCGUAAAGAGCUCGUAGGCGGCUUGUCGCGUCGUCCGUGAAAACCCACGGCUCAACUGUGGGCUUGCGGUCGAUACGGGCAGGCUGGAGUUCGGUAGGGGAGACUGGAAUUCCUGGUGUAGCGGUGAAAUGCGCAGAUAUCAGGAGGAACACCGGUGGCGAAGGCGGGUCUCUGGGCCGAUACUGACGCUGAGGAGCGAAAGCGUGGGGAGCGAACAGG